rnacentral:lncRNA from 1 species
CUAACCCCAGAAACUUUAGAGCUCGCCACCCCAGAAACCUCCACCAUCUCCGUCAGUGGCUACACCAUAAACCACUCCAAUCUACCUAAAAAUAACACCCCAGAACCCUCUCCCCCUCCUCUUUCAAAAUCUCAACAUAGUUUCCCUCCAAUUCCUCUCAAUCUCUUUGAAUCUCGAAUCAAAGUUCGAAACCCUAAAAACCCAAAUCGCCCUACCUUUGAUUCUGUGGCAUGCAUGACCACAUGCGUCUGAAUUUUCUAGUUUUAAAAGUCUAAUUUGGCAUAAAGCAGUGUUGGUCGUUUGUUCUUGACAAAGAACAAGCGAUUAACACUGGUUUUGUUAAAUCGAGGAGUCCAAUGUUGGUGUCGAGUUUAGUCGGCAAGCUUUCUUUAUUCUUUUUUUUCUUUUUGUCCACUUUUAUGUUGUUUCAUCUUCUACUCCGUUCUUUUAUUCUCCGCUUCUUGAGUGUUUUUUUUUUCUACUGAAAAGUUGAUGAAAGUUUUAAACCUGGGUUUUUCACUUUGAUUAUUUGGUAUUCGUAUUUAUUCUGUGGGGUGCUCCUGUUUUCUGUUAAUUUUUUGUUAAUUUUGUUUGAUUUGUGUAUCUUGCCUGUUUAGCUUUUACGGGCUCAAAUAUAUCCUUGUACUAUUCAAAAUAGGCCAUAUUUAUUCUCCGUUUGAAUUCUUUAACAAAUAUAUCCCCACCGUUAUACAUUAGGGCCAUAUAUAUCCCUCAGCCGUUAAAACAUAUUUAUCCUCCGUUUGAAUUCUUUAAGAAAUAUGUCCCCACCGUUAUACAUUAGUGCCAUAUAUAUUUCUCAGCUGCUAAAACUUGUUUCUACAUAAUUUUUUAACACGUGGCAGUCAACGAUUGGAUCACAUUACCCACCCAUUCUAUUUUUUAAACCCGCCCGACCCACUGUUUAAACCCGCCUCGACCCCAUUUCUUUAUACACUCCAGCCCAUAAAUAGAAUGGGUGCAAGAAAAUAACAGGAAACCUCCUCCAACAUAGCCAUCAAGUAGUUGAUCUUAUUCUUUUUUGCUUCUGAAGGUACGUGCCACUUCUUCGACACAUCCUGGAAAUCAAUAGUAGUUAAUUACAUAAUAGAGCGGGAAAUUGAAAAUUUCAAACUGUAACUUUGUAGCUUUGACUCGUUUACAAAUUCUUCUCUAAUUUCCACCUCUGCUAAGUUUCACGUCCAGUUUUUUCUUUUCCUCAAAUUCUUCGAUCCAAAUACCCAUCACAAAUUCAAACUUAAACCAUCAAAUACACUACAAAAGAUAAUGAAUAUUGAAAAAAAAAUUGUCAAGGAACUGAAAGGUUAUACUUCAACAACAUGGAAAGCCGAUGCUCUUGAGAAUUCAGCGAUGACCGCGUGAUUUUAAGUCCUCGCUUUUUCUUUAAGAAAUUGUCAUGGAACUGAAAGUUUAUACUUCAACAACAUGGAAAGCCGAUGCUCUUGAGAAUUCAGCGAUGACCGCAUGAUUUUAAGUCCUCGCUUUUUCUUUAAGAGAGUGUUGACCCUAGGUACGACCUCCUAUUUUAAAAGGAUUAACCAAAGCUUUAAGAGAAUCAAAACCCUAAAUUUGAAACAAAUGAAAUUAGAGGGGAAGGAACUUACCGUUUCUAGCCUUAAUCAAGCAAAUCCCAUUCGAACUUCCCGACACAAAUCACUAAUCAGCAAAUAUACUAGGCUUGAAGAAUGCAAUUUCAAAUCUCUUCUCAAAACCUUCUAAAACAAUGGCAGAGAAAAAGCAAUAUAUAUCGACUGGAGUGUAUAAAGAAAUGGGGUCGGGGCGGGUUUAAACAGUGGGUCGGGCGGGUUUAAAAAAUAGAAUGGGUGGGUAAUCUGAUCCAAUCGUUGACUGCCACGUGUUAAAAAAAUUAUGUGGAAACAAGUUUUAAUGGCUGAGGGAUAUUUAUGGCCCUAAUGUAUAACGGUGGGGAUAUAUUUGUUAAAGAAUUCAAACAGAGGAUAAAUAUGACAUAUUUUGAAUAGUACAAGGAUAUAUUUGAUCCUUAACCGAACUAUUUUUAACUUCUUUAUUUUAUUUUCAUCAUAAAAUGAAAAAUAUUUCAGUUUAUGUAUUUUUCAUAAAUUUUUUUAAAAAAAUAGUACCUUAUUUUCCUCUUUAUAUAAUUUCAAAAACAUAAAAAUAGUCUCAUGUUUAGUUUAAUUAUUUAGGAUUAGCUUGGGCGUUCGUGUAGUAUUUCUAUCUUAUUUUAAAAGAAUGAUAUAUUUGACCCUUAACCGUAGUUUUUAUUUGGGUCACAAAUUCUGAUUCUUCUAAUCGUAUAAUUAGUUGUGGUUGAUUAGGUAAUAUAGUUUAAUUAUAGCUCGUUAUUUAGUUUAAAAGGAAAAACAGUCAUUUAGGUUAGGUUUUUAAUUUUGAAAUCAUUUAUUUGUACAUUUUCUUCUGCCUUCUAUUUGAUUACAGAAUUUAGUUUGGAUCAGUUGUUGUUUGGGCUUUGGAUCAUUUCUGACCCAUUGGCAAGAGAAGCCCAUUUAUUUGGGCUUAAUUUACUGGGUCAACUUGACCCAUAUGGUAGGUUGGGGUAAAAACAAAGGGUCAAAAGGGGUAGUCUAGGAGUUUUAGGUAGGAGAAUCUUGUGUAACUGAUUGGGAAGCUUCCAGGAAAGUGGGAGAAGGGAUUGGUUUGUCAAACAGGUUAUAAAAUCAAGGUUUAAAAUGAAAAAAUAAAAAUUGGAGAAUGAGUAAUUGACAAAUUGGUGAACUCAUUUCUGCUGCCUUAAAAGUCCCCUAUAUAAAGCCUAUUUUAUGAAAAAUUAGGCAUAGAUCAGACCUUAGAAGUUAGAAACGGCUGAAAAAUACUAAACACUGAAAAGUCUGAAGAAUCAGAAGAAAAAUACAAAAACCAAUUACAAAAUACUGUUACAUUGAAAUUUUUUGUGUAAUUCUUUAGGUUUUAAAGUUUGAAGUAAUCUUUGGUUCAUUCUGGACUGGAAAUGAUAUAAAGAAGUUGAAUUUGUUGUUGUUGAUUUGUUGAUUUGCACUAUUCCGCUGCUGCUGAUAACUCCUCAUUCCUCUUUGUUUCUCUAUUGCAUUCCAGGUACUUCUCGAAUCAUGGCUAACUUUUGAAGUGUAAUGCGCAAACGUGAACAUGGAUUCAUGAUGAAAAUUAUUCGAGUUACUGAUUUCUUGUUCUUACCUGUUUCUCCAUCUACCCAGGUCUUGUAAUAUUUUAAUUUUAGGUGAAUUCUAUUAGCUUUCUUUGUUGUGGAUAUGGUAUAAAAUGUUUGAGCUUGGUCUUUGUUUGUUUCUACAGAAAGAUUUUUGGAUUUAAAAUAGUUAGCCUGCUGAUCUUACAAGAUUUUGCUUAUGGCUUAUAUGAAAGAAGUUCGGAUUAAAGCUCAUUGUAAUUGUUGUUGAGU